rnacentral:rRNA from 1 species
CUACGUGCCAGCAGCCGCGGUAAUACGUAGGGUGCGAGCGUUAAUCGGAAUUACUGGGCGUAAAGCGAGCGCAGACGGUUACUUAAGCAGGAUGUGAAAUCCCCGGGCUCAACCUGGGAACUGCGUUCUGAACUGGGUGACUAGAGUGUGUCAGAGGGAGGUAGAAUUCCACGUGUAGCAGUGAAAUGCGUAGAGAUGUGGAGGAAUACCGAUGGCGAAGGCAGCCUCCUGGGAUAACACUAACGUUCAUGCUCGAAAGCGUGGGUAGCAAACAGGAUUAGAUACCCUGGUAGUCCACGCCCUAAACGAUGUCAAUUAGCUGUUGGGCAACUUGAUUGCUUAGUAGCGUAGCUAACGCGUGAAAUUGACCGCCUGGGGAGUACGGUCGCAAGAUUAAAACUCAAAGGAAUUGACGGGGACCCGCACAAGCGGUGGAUGAUGUGGAUUAAUUCGAUGCAACGCGAAGAACCUUACCUGGUCUUGACAU